ensembl:lncRNA LINC02860 long intergenic non-protein coding RNA 2860
CAAUUAAAUCUUUUUCUUUAUAAAUUACCCAAUCGUAGGUAUGUCCUUAUAGCAGUGUGAGAACCGACUAAUACAGUUCCUUAGGAAGCCCCUGCUGGGUAUGGAUGGGGAGUGAAGCAAGGUGGGCCCAGAAGCUGCCGCUGGCUGAGAGACCAUGAAGAAAGUGUAUAGAAUCUCCACCAUCACCAGAGGAAGAGAGCUUGGCAGGAAAGUUACUUCCAUGAAUGGAUGAGUUGAAGUGAACAGCGUCUUGGGCAAAACUGAAGGGUAGUUAGUCGGGUUUGUCUCUGGUGGGCUUUCAGCUCCACUCCCUGCAUCCCAUUCCCACAUCGUGAUGGUCCCCUCAUAGGCCCAGGGCUACCACCUUGGAGCAUAGGUGGGGAUCCUCCAGCCAGGGUCCUUCCUUCACAGGGAGUCAGAGCCCUCUGCUCCGGAAUUGCCCUGCCCCAGGUCGGCCAUCUAUCAAAAGCCCCACUAUCCCCUAAAGACCCACCCUCAAGCAGCAGAUGUGCAGCAAGGGAGCCGCAAAUGUCAUUCCUGUGACCCCGAAGCAGUCUAGUGUGUUACCUCUCUCAGGGCUGCUAUGGGCUGAAUUGCUUUUCCCCAAAAUUUCUAUGCUGCUUCCCUAACCCCCAGCGCCUCAGAAUCUAACUCUGGAUAGGACCUGUGAAUAAGUGAUUAAGUUAAAAUGGGGUCCUGUGGAUGGGCCCUAACCCAAUCUGACUGGUGUCCUUUUAAGAAGAGGAAGAGACACCAGAGAUGUGCACACUCAGAGACAAGACACAUGAGGACACAGAGACAAGGCGGCUACCUGCAAGCCAGGGAGAGGGGCCUCGGGGAAGCCAACCCUGCCUACGCCUUGAUCUUGGACUUCCAGCCUCCAGAACUCCAGAAUCUGAGUGAAAUGGGUAUAAAUCAUGAGCUAGGAUACAGUUCAAUUAUUCCUAUGAUGAAAAGAGCUUUCUCCGCAUGUGGGACUCUCGGCCUCAUUAUGAGUGGCAUCUUUGACAAUCCAGGGCCCAUUAAAAACACCUUGAAGAAAGCAUUCACCAUGCUGUGGAGCUUCACAGUCUAUACCAGGCUGGAAUCCUUGAGGGUGGCAUUAUCAAAUGAGGAAAUGGUUCCUUUCAUUUUUCAUCUGAAGACUCAGACAGCAAACAUGUUAUCUGGCCCUAUAAGCACCCCGAUGCUUCUGUGAAACCCAAGCAAGUUCUGCAUCACCACGACAGCCGCGGAUGUCAAAUCAUCAAAACAGCAGCAGAGGAAGGGGUUUAUUCCUCCUCCAAAUCUUCAGCUGGUUUUAUAGGGUUACCAGUUUAAAGUUUCUUUGUUUUCAGAGCAUCAGACCUCCCAUUUGUAGCUGAUAGCCAUUUUUCAAAGGUUUCUGGCUCACCCAGGAAUUCAUUAGGGUGGACGAGAAAAGAACAGUGGAUAGAAUAGACCAGCAGGGCAAUCUAAGCCCCAUUCCCUGUCUCUUUACAUUGGUUCUUGGUCCCCGUGACUCAUCCAAACUCCCUUAUAUUCCUAUCUGGAAUGCGAAAGCUGGAAAUACAAGUGCUCUGUAAUCACAGGCAGUGGUUUUCUUGGAGUCUGGUGUGAUUUCUGUAGCUUGCAGCAAUAUGUGGGACACACUUGCACUGAAGAAUUUAAUGACUUGUUUUACUGCUGUCUGCCAUCAAUAUUUAUCUAUAUUAACUGAAGAAAGGCAUUACUCGAAAUGGCAUUUCACACCUCUGAGCAUUAUACAGUAAUUCUAAAGUCAUACGUUGUACCAAAUUCUCUGGGCAAACACAGAGAUACAGUAUGAAUGGAAAGAAUCCAAGUUGAAGUUUUUAAAACUUGAAUUGUCUGCAGUAAUCUGGAAAACCAAAGUCAAAAUGACUCGAAUUGCUAUGGCUGGGAAUGACUGGAUUAAAAGCAAUGGAAACAAUCGUUUCUCGGCUUGGUUUUUCUUGAAUUAGCA